GCCUCUGUGGAUCAGCGUGAGAUCACCUCUCCCAAGUAUUUGAGUGCAGGUCCUUCUGCAAGAGGAAGUGUGGGUUCGACUCCCACCGGAGGCA